AACCAAUUUUAUAGUGAAACUGCGAAUGGCUCAUUAAAUCAGUUAUAAUUUACUUGAUAAUUUUAUACCAGUGGAUAACCGUGGUAAUUCUAUGGCUAAUACAUACAUUAAAGGGCCUUACUAUGUAAGGCCUGUAGUUAUUAGAUAAAAAACCAAUGCAUGCAAAUGCUUUUUUGGUGAUUCAUAGUAAACUUACAGAUCGUUGUCUUCGACGACGUGUCAAUCAAAUUUCUGCCCUAUCAACUGUCGAUGGUAAGGUAGUGGCUUACCAUGGUUGCAACGGGUGACGGGGAAUAAGGGUUCUAUUCCGGAGAGGGAGCCUGAGAAACGGCUACCACAUCCAAGGAAGGCAGCAGGCGCGCAAAUUACCCAAUCCUAAUACAGGGAGGUAGUGACAAUAAAUAACAAUCCAGGGCCCUUAUGGGUCAUGGAAUUGGAAUGAAUACAAAUUAAAACUCUUAAUGAGGAACCAUUGGAGGGCAAGUCUGGUGCCAGCAGCCGCGGUAAUUCCAGCUCCAAUAGCGUAUAUUAAAGUUGUUGCAGUUAAAACGCCCGUAGUCGAAUUUUUGGGGGAAUGAGGAUUUGAAAGGGUUUUAGCCUUUGGUUAAUAAUCUUUUCUUUUUCUUGGUCCCUCAUUUUAUAUUCCUGGUCUUUGGGCUUAGUUGGUACUUUACUGUAUUGAUUAAGUCAUUUCCCUCGGGUGGGCCAGGAAUGAUUACUUUGAAAAAAUUAGAGUGUUCAAAGCGGGCUUUUUAAGCCGAAUACAUUAGCAUGGAAUAAUAAAAUAAGACUAUGGUUUUAUUUUGUUGGUUUAUAAAACUAAAGAAAUGAUGAAUAGGUCUGGUUGGGGAUAUUAGUAUUUAAUAGUCAGAGGUGAAAUUCUUGGAUUUAUGAAAGACUAACUUCUGCGAAAGCAUUUAUCAAGGACAGGCUCAUUGAUCAAGGACGAAAGUUGGGGGAUCGAAGAUGAUUAGAUACCGUCGUAGUCUCAACCAUAAACUAUGCCAACUAGGGAUUGGGGCUGUUUUUAACAGUCUCAGCACCUUGUGAGAAAUCAAAGUUUU
rnacentral:rRNA from 1 species